UGUGUGUCACAUAUAUGUGUGUUUGUGUGUGUGUCUGUGUUUGUGAGUGUGCGUAUGUUAAUUACACAAUGUAAUAUAUUAUAAUACAAGUGUGAACAGAUCAAUCUUCUUGGCAGUAUUUUUAAUCCCAGUGUAAAAACUCUGUUUCCCCUUUUCGACUAAACGGAAGUGAAUUCUUACGAAGUUAUGUUUUUCUGGUGAUAUAGGCUAAAAGCGUGUGUUUAUGUUAUACAAAUUUUCUUCCGAAAAGUGUUUGUUCGUUGAAUAGUGUGAAAAACGUUACGUCGUGUGGUAACAAAGUGUCGUUUCUUCCAAUCCGAAAAUCUACUGGCAGUUUGUAAACUUUUUGCAUUCCGUCUAUGUACGGGUAAUGAAAAAGCUCCUCGCGUGAUCAGGUUUUCGUCUAGCAAUCAACUCACAGCCUCAAUCAAGUGACAACCGAACUGUGUGGUUUUAAAAGUCCAUGCAAUUGCUUUUUGAUAAGGGGAAAAUUGGCGCACUCAACCAAACCUGCACGUAGAAGCAAAAAAGCAGAAAAUACAACAGCUUUACUUUUAUAGUUCAAGACUUCCUAGUUCAUCGUUCCAUUCCAGCCUAAAAGUGGAGUACUCUCUUGAUUACAAGGAAUCCAGAUAUAGACUUCAUCUGGAUUCAUCUCAUGCUCAAACAAUGACCUCAACUGAUCGUCCAGCCGGAGGUGCUCUAGCAUUGCACUACGCUGCAGCUCGUGGUUGUCUGGAUUGCGUUCGCUUACUAACUGAAGCUGCACCUGACAUUAGUGCUAAUACACAAAUGGACAAUGAUGUUACGCCAGUUUACUUGGCUGCGCAGGAAGGUCACCUGGAGGUUUUAAAGUUUCUUGUCCUUGAGGCAGGUGGAUCACUUUAUGUACGAGCUCGUGAUGGUAUGGCUGCCAUUCACGCUGCCUCGCAAAUGGGUUGUCUCGAUUGCCUUAAGUGGAUGAUUGAAGAUCAGGCGGUGGACCCAAAUCUACGUGAUGGUGAUGGUGCUACACCUUUACAUUUUGCAGCAUCGCGAGGACACUUGAGCGUGGUGCGAUGGUUAUUAAAUCAUGGUGCCAAAUUGUCACUGGAUAAAUAUGGAAAAAGCCCUAUCAAUGAUGCGGCUGAGAAUCAACAGGUCGAAUGUUUGAACGCAUUGAUACAGUAUGGAAAUAAAAAAGAAGGUAACAGAGUAGAGUCUCAGGAUAAUCAAUUGAUGCCUAGUCAGCACCGCUAUGCAUUAGAAGAUGCCUAUCAGUCUCAAGCAAUGCCAGAAUCAUCAGCAAAACAGACACGAACGCGUAAAGCCUUGGUUGGGACUCAUGCACACGCUGGAAAGGCACUCACUGCUGGUCAUGAUUAUAAUCACCAUAAUAACACGAUGAAAUCGUCAAAAUCUUCAACGGGCAGCUCAGAUUCCGAGCCGUUUUAUUUACAUCCUCCAACUAUAAGUAAAACAAAGGAUGGUUUGUAUUCUCGCCUCACACCAGAUAGCUAUUAUGACCCAGUGUUAUCAAAUGAUGGAGUCUAUGUGAAUCCUAUGCGUCAUGGGUCCACAACGCCACCCAGCCCGAGUGGCAGUGUUUCUGGAGAAUCCUUUUUUUUGCACGACCCCCAAGAUGUUAUUUACAACCGUGUCAAAGAUUUAUUUGAUGCAGAUAUUACUAUAAAGGAGGAUAAUGUCAACAAUAAUCGAUCAAUAGUGCUAGCGGAAGUACACUCUAGUAGCAGCGGAGCCGCCAGUGGUUCAGAUGAGGAUCUCUCCGUGUCUUCUUCGCAUUCCGAUGGCGAUGGCAUAGUUGGCAGUAGUGGAAUUUGUAAUGGUAGUAGUAUCGGUGGCAUUGCUAAAGAUAUAGGAGACGCAGGUGGAAAAUGUGACUCAGUAGUUGGUGUCAUCAACAACAAUCAAAAGUUAUCAAACGAUAACACAGCAAGCCAUGAGCAUGACUAUGAAGAUAUCUAUCUUAUGAGAGAUGAAACGCAGUUGGCGGGUAGUACCUCUACUAGAAAUGCAAUUGGGAGGAGCCGUUCUAGAGACAGUGGUUCCCAUAGUCGAUCGGCGAGUGCUAGCUCAAAUAGAAGUGAUAUUGCUCUACAGCUGACUGGCAACACUAAUGAUCAGUCGCUGGUGAACAAUAAUAAGGAACAUAUGCUGCUGGCGAAACGCAACAAUUUAUUGCAUGAACAUCGACGAAACCAACAUGAGGCGAAGCUUCUUUCAAAAUCAAUGUACACCAUGGGCAAGAGCAACAUUGACCCGAGUCAAACAUUUUCUGGAGCUGCUUCGCAGCGUAAGCAUGCCGAAGACUAUCCCAUAAGUACAAUCCGUUCUUCUUGCACCAUAGAUAAUGCCUACGAAAGUGUAUGUUCACCUGAGGAUGUAUACGAGAGAACAGCAGAUAUGGAAAUUGAUGUGAAACAGCUGAAACGCUCCCAAUCUCACCAGUUUCUUAAUUUAUUAGCCAACUCUAAUAUUUCACGGGAAACAAAUGGAACAACCGUUAUUAUAAAUAGUGUCACUAACGGAACAGAUACACAUUCAACAACUAUGUCCACAUCGCCAUCGUCAGCCAAACAAAUCGAAGAAACACAAAUUGAAGGAAAAGAAAAUACAGGACCUCCACCCCCUCCACUACCUCCACCAUUAAAAGCAAGCAGCUAUGGUAAUAGCGGACAUAAACCAAUUCAUGUUGCAGCUGCUGCAUCAGGCGCAACAGCACCAAUUGCAUCUUCUCGACACUCAACAGACCAGCAGAUCGGUGCAACAUAUGGCGAACAACAAAAGUACCUGAAUGGUAUACACAAAUUCGUUCUUUUCCGUGAAGGAGACAGUCACGAAGAAUGCGCAGAAUUGAACAGAUCACAACAUCAUGAUUCAGAUUCCGGACUAGAAGUAUUAGAAGAAUCUACUCUCAAACCAUCAGAUCUGAUUCGUGGGAACCACAAUCGUAGCAUGUCAACUAUUACAGCGAAUAAGAAAGCCAAACUAAUUCAAGCCAACGGCUGUGGUGAAGGUAAUGGUGGCGGAUACAACCUACAUAGUCAAUGUGCACCUGAAAAUAGCUCACCAUACGGCUCCAAGGCAUCCCGCGCCGCACCAGUAGCGUCAGUCGACGUCCAGCUCUGCCAUCAGCAACAUCACCAUCAACCGCGGCUUGUUAACGUCCAGCCAGUAACACCAAACAACCUUCAGCAUCAGGGACCUAACUUGGUGAAUAAGCAGUUGGUCCUACCAUUUGUGCCACCCAGUUUUCCAAAUGGUACAAGUGACGGCUCGAACCAUCUGAUCAAACCAUCAGAAUAUUUAAAAAGCAUCAGUGACAAAAAAUCAAAUGCAGGCUCGCAAAGAUCAUCUGAUACUGAGGAAUAUAUGCCAUUGAACACUGCCCUCAUUGUGCAGGCGGGAUCGGAGCCACCGAAACCGCCCCCGCCACCACCAGCGCCCCCUCUUCUCAACCACAAUAACGCUACAAUCGCUGGCACGGCAACCCUAAACUCCACUCUGCCGCAUAACAAUACAGCAGGCGGGACCCGAUUAGGCGAACCAGCAUCCAGCGAGAAGGCACAACGCAGCGGAGUGCAUCCACCGCCUCCUCCACCACCCCAAGACACAAAUAUUCGCAAACUACACCAGCCGCUCUCGGCCAUCUCUAUUCAAGACUUAAACAGCGUUCAGCUACGACGGACUGACAAGAUGCUCGCCAAAACUUACUCAGCUCCAACACGCAGUAUAAGCAUGCAGUGUUUAUCAAGCACCACCGAACAAUUCCUUUCUCAGAAGACCGACCUAAUAGCUGAGUUAAAGUUAUCGAAGGACAUUGCUGGAGUGAAGAAGAUGAAAGUGGAGCGAGCUAAACUCGAAGAUCGCCAAGCGACUGAAGUUUACUCAGAAGUAACACGUCAGUUCACCGCUCAGAACUAUGUUGAUCAGUAUUCGCAUAAUUAAUUAAAGGAUUAAGAAGGGAAUGAAUCGCUCCCACGAGUACAUCGACUUAUGGUUGAGGAAUACUUGAUACACACUACAUAGGAUAAAAAGCAACAAAAAGGUUUAAAAUCACUGGACCAGAUUAUUUAUUAUUACAUGUAUUGUGCACUUCUGUAUUGUCCACUUCAUAACAUUAUGCACGUAUUGAAUGUUGUAUUAAAUAGUAUUGAAGGGUUUCUAGUAGUAUCUCCUACUCGAAAUCUUUUGAUUUGUUUUAUUGUAAAUCAUAAUGUUCUAUGAAUAAUAUUUAUUUUCAUUCUUGUUUUGCGUCAUAACGAUCACUUGCUAUAUUUUUGAGGGUUUUUCAAAAAGUUUCAAGUUAUAAUUUGCGCUGUAAUAGUUGUUCGUUAGGUGCUAUAACUCUAACUACAAAAACUAUGGGUAAAAAAUCGAGCGCAAAGCAUCUUUCAAGCAAGGGCGCAGGAGCUAUGAACGAUGUUAUAAAACUUAGAGCCAUCUUGUGCCAUGUUGAGCAUUUAAAGUAAUAACUCUUUAAAACUUGUUUAUCAAAAGCUGAUUUAAAUCACAUAUCCAUUUUAAACAUGUUUCCUCGCUUAUAAAUGAAUUUCGCUAGAAAUAAGUGAAAGCAAAACUAUUUUUGAAGCGUGUUAAAAAGGGUCGAAAAAGAUGUUUUGUUAACUCAAUGGGGCAAGAUUGCCACCCGUAUGGGGCAUACGGCCACCUUGUUAAAGUAAACAUAUUUUUUUGAUAAUUGGAGAUUUUUACGUCCGUAGUGUAUGGGGUGGCUGUAGUGUAUAUAUUCAUACAUGUCUCAAGUCACCAAUGAACCGCUUUUGAUCACAAACUGUGCCGCAAUAUGGAAGUUGCUUGUCUGUUUUUCCGGGGUGGGAUCCGUUCAUAAAAGCGCACAAUACCGCUGCACGCCACAACAAUGUUUACAUUUUUGACAGCUCGCGCCUAGGAAAAAUGGUGGCAUUGCAAUCGCCCUAGGUAGCUCUUUUGCCCCAAAAGUUGUAAACUGUAAUUUGUUGCUCAAUUAUAAAACUCAAUAUAAAAAAGUUUAAAACAAUGGUAAACAUCGAGAAAUCGAUAUGAAAUUCGACACAGUAUACCUUGUCAUUGGAACGCAACCAUCGGUUUACACAAUUGGUCAUUUAACUACACUUUUUAUGACGAAAAAAAGAUUGGUGGCACUCUUGCUCCUAUGGCACACGUGCCCCAAAUUCCUCUACGCGUGCCCCAAAUCCCCCACAAUCGGCCGAUGGAUAUGGCAGGUACGUGUAGUUUGGCUGUGAAACUGUCGCGAUUGCGAGGGAUGCGGAUACGAUUGCAAACUGGUCGAUUUGUUUUGUGGGACACUUGUAAAAAAAAUCACAAAAUCCCAAAUCUUCUCAAAGGUAAAAUUCGCCACCAAUUUCAUUCAAAUACAGGGGUUUCCCAAUAAAUUUCCAAUGUCAACAUCAUAUUGCUGCACCUUCUUGCCAGAUCCUGUAAAACAAACUCGACCCGUCUGCGAGCUCCCAGGAGGCCUCGCAAUCAUAACAGCUCCGCAAGCGCCCUCGCAAGAAAGCUCCUUGCGAGAGCAAGUCAUGUUUAGGUGAUAGUUUCAGCGGUUAAAAUUAUAGCAUCUAUAACAUAACAAUAGAUUUUAAUUUUUUCUACAUUAUUUUAAAACAACUUAAAGAACUGCUUAACUAGUUUAGUGCUAGUCCAGUUUAGUUUUUUUUAACAUGUGGAAGAACUGAACAUUUUUUUAAACAUGUGGAAACGCCUCGCUAGAAUCGUAGAUGCGUGCCCCAGACAUGACCUCAUAAUCAUCCUGGAGGACUUCAACGCAAAAGUCGGUAGGGAGCCAAUGUACCGCCAAUACACUGGCUGUCACAGUCUGCAUGAACACAGUAACGAUAAUGGUAGUAGAUUGGUCCAGUUCGCCGCAGCGAACAAUCUAGUUGUAGGAAGUACCAAAUUAAAGCAAGAAGAAAAUCCUCACGGUUACAUGGGCGCACCCUGGUGGAGAAUCCUUCAACCAGAUCGACCACGUGUUAAUAAGCUGCCGACGACAGUCGAGUCUGUUAAAUGUCAGAACAUAUCGAGGAUAUGGAAUCGAAUCGAGGAAUAUGGAUUCCGAUCACUACUUGGUUGGCUUAGUGACGUUGUAGAAUUGCCCGCCCCCGUGCCAAUGGGGGCAGGGAAAACACGCAGCCUCGGCUCAACACGGACUCUCUAAGGGACAUUACUGUCCAACAGAAAUUCAAAGCCGCUUUAGACGAGUCUCUACUACCAGAAAACAGUUAUGAAACUACGAGCGAGAGGUGGAACGCUCUAAAAACAAAAAUAAUAAACUGUGCAAGAAAUAUACUCCCACCACGUCGUGGCAACACCAAAUCUGGCUGGUUCGACGAUGAAUGCAGACAGGUGACCGAACGUAAGAAUACUGCAUACCGAGCAAUUUAGCAAUGGCAUAGAACGCGGGCAUGCGCAGAGGAAUAUUCACGGCUCAGACGCGAAGAGAAAAGAGUUCACCGCUCUAAGAAGCAUGCUUUGGAAGAGCAAAACAUGCGGGAACUCGAGCAAACCAGAGAGGCGUACGGACCGACACGAAAGUUUUACCAAGCGAUAGCAGGUCAUCGAAACAACGUUGUACCUAAGGUAACCUGCUGUCGCAACAAGGAUGGAGAUCUGGUCAGUAACCAGCCAGAGGUCCUCUCGCCGUGGGCUCAGUACUUUGAUGAAUUACUCAAUGACCAGUUUAGCGAACAGCUAGAAGCGCCACUAGCAGAUAGUGUCAUGCUACUGCCACUUAGCAUAGAAGAAACACGAAAGGCUAUCCGUCGGCUGAAAAAUAACAAGGCACCCGGAACCGACGGAAUUGCAGCCGAACUGGUCAAGAAUGGAGGUGCACGACUAGAAAACGAGAUUCAUCAAAUUGUUACUGAGGUGUGGGAUAGCGAAUCGAUGCCUUAUGAUUGAAAUCUCGGCAUCAUCUACCCCAUAUACAAGAAGGGAGACAGGUUGGACUGCAACAACUACAUGGGUAUUACGGUGUUGAAUACCGCCUAUAAAAUACUCUCCCUGAUCCUUCAGGAUCGCCUUGUCCCGCACGUCGAAGAGAUAGUCGGAAACUAUCAAAGAGGAUUCCGAAACGGAAAAUCAACCACUGAUCAGAGGCCCGAUUAUUAAACACAAACGGAAACGACACAGGACAAGUGCGUCAAGACAAACGGAAAAUAGCCUUAUCAUACAGCUGAUAAGAUUUUUCAGGUACCUGAGCGCGAUAAUGCUGGAAAUGUAAUUCCCGAUUG